UCGCGAAGGAAACCUGCGCAUGCGCACAUGGUAAAAAUAUGACGCAGCCGGGGAUUCCCCUUUCAUUCGCCAUUUUUUCUGCACAAAAAUGUGCAUACUGCACCGCCACCUUCUACUUCUAUUCUGCUACUUCCGAUUCCGAUCCAGUGAUUGAUAUUUCUGAGAUCUUUCUUCAGUUGCAGUAGAUUUCGAUGUAAGUCUUUGUGAACCUGGCCUGAUCGAACUGAGUGAAACGAGGUAUUGUCGCCAUCACCAUUUUCCAGAGGACUACACUUCUGUCGAAUGAGAAGGACAUCGUACACCAUGGGUGGAUUCUGCCUUCUCUAUCUGCUCCUGAUCCUCUUGAUGAGAUCUGGCGACGUUGAAACCAAUCCAGGUCCGAACACUGCAGUAAGUACUGUCAGUGAAAUGGAGUUUCUGAAGCUGGCCCAGGAUAUCGCUCCAUCUUACUACGAUGCUGUAGGGAUAUCUCUAGGGAUCCCCUUAGCUCAGCUACAGGCAAUCCUACUUCAGAUGUCGAAUAACUAUUCCAAUGCAUU